GUGCCAGCCGCCGCGGUAAUACGGAGGUGGCUAGCGUUGUUCGGAAUUACUGGGCGUAAAGGGCGCGUAGGCGGCUUUGCAAGUCAGAUGUGAAAGCCCCGGGCUUAACUCGGGAACUGCAUCUGAAACUGCUUAGCUUGAGUCCUGGAGGGGGUAGUGGAAUUCCCAGUGUAGCGGUGAAAUGCGUAGAUAUUGGGAGGAACACCUGCGGCGAAGGCGGCUACCUGGACAGUGACUGACGCUGAGGCGCGAAAGCUAGGGGAGCGAACGGGAUUAGAAACCCGCGUAGUCC
rnacentral:rRNA from 1 species